rnacentral:rRNA from 14 species
GCGUAGGAGUCUUAAGGAAGGCUGGCCCUAGUACGAGAGGACCGGGAUGAACGUACCUCUGGUGGAGCUGUUGUGGCGCCAGCCGCAGUGCAGCGUAGCUACGUACGGACGGGAUAACCGCUGAAGGCAUCUAAGCGGGAAACCCACCUCAAAACGAGUAUUCCCUUGAGAGCCGUGGAAGACGACCACGUUGAUAGGCCGGGUGUGUAAGUGUGGUGACAUAUUUAGCUUACCGGUACUAAUC